AAUAUUCUACGAAUUCAGCAGAGCAUCAUUACAUAAUCCCUAGCAGCGUAAAUGUAUUCCUUGUAGAAUAAAUCCGUGUGUUCUUGCUCGCUGAACGCGUACUCCCUCGCUGAGCCGAUGCAGAACACAAUGUCUGCGUCUUUGAAUGCGACAGACGCAUCGUGACCGUACGUUAUAUCUACAGCAGAUAGUGUUUACAGACACACGCAUAAAUCUGUUUCCGCUGCUUAACUACUCCUCUGACAAAUUAAUCGCGAAAUAUAUUGCAGUCAUUAAUAGUUCCACAGUGUUGCGAUUUCAAUGCAGUUCGCUAGAUGUUUGGUUUAGGAAAAUAUCCGUGAUCCGAUGAGAUCUUUUUUCCUAGAAUCUCUUAUUUCUUAUUUUUAAAAAGAGUUUACCGUGCAGAAGAUUGGGGCUGAAGAACGUGAGCUCGAUGGCUACGCUCUCCAGAAACACCGCUUUCUCCGGGAACUCGUACACGCUUACGAAGAUCGAUUGAUCCGGACCGAAUACUUCAUCGGAAAGAAUCCUGUAAAGGAAGGACAGUGCUAUGUCACUGCUCCCGUCGGUGACGACCACUCGCAAAACGUCCUCGUCACGUCGCGACGCGUGAGUCACGACGGUUUCGUCAGUUUCGUAGAUACUCGAAUCCAUUUGUGAUUCACGGAACUCCUACUUGACGUUUGCAACGAUUACGAAUGCGUUUAUAGGUAUCUACAAGGCGGUUCGAGCCGAAUCUACUCGAAUAAGUUAAUUUUGCCACUUUAUAACGUCUACUUGAGCUUGAGAGUCACGCAGAGAGUAUUUUCUGAUAGAAAAAAAAUGUAAACAACACUGCGUUGAUUUUCUGUGAACCAGACCUUUUAUUACGAUAUCAUUGCAGGCGUCGAUUGCUUCAGCGUACACUUUAGCCUUCAUGGAGCAGUAAGCCAGUUUGUAGGCUACAGAAAGUUUGGACUUUCCACCGUACCUCCAAGCUUGGCUGUAUUGCAGAGCAGCUUCCUUAUAGUUCUGCUCUUUCUCGGCUAUGUGGCCAGACAAUUCAUGAGCCCUCACGCAAGUAGCAUUGUGCUGCAAGACCUUUCUCAGCAGCUCAUUAGCCAAGUCGUAUUUGUUCGAUUGCACAUAAAUCUCGGCUAAGAGCAGCCAACAGCGUUCCAAGUACUCGGCGUCCUCGAAGGUCCAUAUGUUCUUGCUGACGCGUUUCAAAUGGUUCCGGGCUCUGGGAGUUUGUUUGAGAAGGAUGUGAGCCAUUGCCAUGCCAAGGGCUGGCCCUACGUGAUCCCUCAGAGCUUCUUGGCUGGCUAGCGCAGUACAAUCUUGCAAGGCCUUUUCUAUGUUCGACUUUUGCUUUGUAGCCAGCAGGAAGAAAUUACUUAGCAGCCUGUGCGUUAACAUUUCGUGAGGACUGCCUUUGGGAUUUAAUUCCUGAAGCAGAAUGGUUGAGUGUACACUUUUUGAACAGUUAGAAGCAGCUUUUAUGAGCUGGUAGCUUUACCUGCAAGAGACGGUAGGCAGUUUUCAAGGCCAUCGUUCUAGAGUCUUGGUACUCGCUGUCAUCGUCGUUAAAGACUUCGUUGGAAAGAGAGGAAUCAUCGUCCGGAUCUAAACAAAUCUCAAUCAUGUUAUAUAUUGCUUGUUGACCCCACUCAGGAUCACGUCUUGCAAAAUUAAACUGACGAAGCGCGGAGUUUAAUCUUCCCGUGCGCCAAUCUAACAAGCCAGCGCAGUAAUAAUACCCAGCUGCCAAGUUUGAUCCGCUCAUCCCUAACUCUGCGCGAUGAAGCCAUUCCUCGAGAUCAUCCAUGUUCCCUGAUGUAGAGAGAAUAUAAAUCAAUUUCCAAUUCUUUCAGCAGUUCUUUCAAGUAUCUUCUACCUGUCCUGCGUGAGACUUCUAUCAGCCUUGCGAGUGCAGUCCAGUACGUUGGUUGCUUUAGCAACAAUUGCUUGAAGUGAUAUGCUGCUGUGUCAAAAUCUACCUUUCGGAACGCGAGAUCUGCCAUCAUGAUGGAAGCCGCUUCGUUGUUCGGAUCUGCGUUUAACAAAGCUGCACAGCUCUGCGCGCAUUUGUCUAAAUUGUUAGUCUGGGAAUCAAAGAUACGGGUCAUUAUUGAGAAAUCUAUAGGAAACUCCACUCAAGAAAUUACGAUCAUUCACCUGCAUGUAUAUCUUUGCCAGUGACAAAAGAGCUUGCACGUUCGCAGGCUUAUGAUUCAAAGCUUCUUUGUAAUGUGUUAUUGCUUGAUCAUAAUCUCUUAAAGAUGACGAAUAGUUGGCCAUAGUCAGGCAGAUAUUCGCCAAGAUUUGCUUCUCAUCUUCCAUAGUAGAACUUCCUAGACGUUGUAUGUACCUGUGUUGAUUCUCUUUAGCUUCUUUCAACGCAGUCAGAGCGCCGUGAAUAUUAUCUGCUUUUUCUCUUGUUUUCGCAAGUAAAAGCAAUAAUUGACCGCGUACCUCUAGAUUCUGCAAAUCAGAAUCCCGACGUCCUUCUGAAAUAUCGAAUUAUUUGCAUCGAAUGAGUACCAUGAUCAAAUAUUUAAUAUAAAUAAUACCUGCCUUGCAGUUCUUGUACCAAUGUAGACUCUGCUUUAUCAUACUGUUUCAUUGUCACGAAUAACUUAGCAAGAUCUAACUUCAAUUCCUUGAAAUUUUCUUGUCUCACCAUAUCCCAAUAAUAAUUUAUAGCCUUUGUGUAUUGAUGUGUUUUUACAAGGGCUUUCCCUAACUUGCUGGCUAUCUGCAACUUAUUCAUAGGAUUUUGUUUCAUGGCUUGUUCAUAUGCUUCUAUUGCUCGCUCUGGUUCCUGUAUGGAAAUAUAUGCAUCACCCAGCAUACUAUAUGUCUUUGGACCAGGACAGUGCUCCACUAAUUCUCUGUAAACAAAUAAAUGUAGACAAUGCUUAAAGAGAUACGAAUAAGGAAGUGUAAUGAAGAACAAACCUAAAACACAUAGCAAAGGCAAGCCUGUCCUUUUUAUACUUUAAAUUGAUUUCAGCCAGACGUGUGUGUGCUUGCAGGUAAUAAGGCUGAUCUGAAGUUACUCUAGACAAGCACUUGAUGGCCUCGUCCAAUUCUCCCAUUUCUAAAAGUAGUUCUGCAUGUCCUAUCAGUAUUCUACCUUCUUCAAUAGUGUUCCCAAACCUUAAGUUUGCCUCUUG